UACGUAGGAUGCAAGCGUUGUCCGGAAUUAUUGGGCGUAAAGCGAACGUAGGCGGCUACUUAAGUUUGGUCUUAAAGACCGGGGCUCAACCUCGGGAGUGGACUGAAUACUGGGUAGCUAGAGGAUGUUAGAGGAAAGUGGAAUUCCAAGUGUAGCGGUGAAAUGCGUAGAUAUUUGUAGGAACACCAGUGGCGAAAGCGGCUUUCUGGGACAUUCCUGACGCUGAGGUUCGAAAGCUCGGGGAGCAAACAGG
rnacentral:rRNA from 1 species